rnacentral:lncRNA from 1 species
GUUGGGAUUCAGGGUUGCUAAGUGUGCCCUCUGUUUUAUAGGUGUUGAUUUUUGGUAACUAUGGUGGUGUGGGGCUUUGUUGUCUUGCGUGGUGUAUGGUAUCUCGUCUCCUCCGCCGAAGAAAAUGAGUUCCUGGAAUAGAGACUCAAAUCUCAGGAUUAAGUAGAGAAUCUUGAAUCGGUCUCCACCUACGUCCAUCUCUUCAGAUCUAGGUUUCUGAAG